GAUGAACGCUGGCGGCGUGCCUAAUACAUGCAAGUCGAGCGAAGAGACGAGGAACUUGUACCACUGACGUGAGCGGCGGACGGGUGAGUAACACGUGGGGAACCUACCUAUAAGACUGGGAUAACUUCGGGAAACCGGAGCUAAUACCGGAUAAUAUAUUGAACCACAAGGUUCAAUAGUGAAAGACGGAAUUGCUGUCACUAAUAGAUGGAUCGGCGCGGCAUUCGCUAGUUGGUAAGGUAACGGCUUACCAAGGCAACGAAGCGUAGCCGCCCGGAUAGGGUGAUCGCCCACACUGGAACUGGGACACGGCCCAGACUCCUCCGGGAGGCAGCAGUAGGGAAUCUUCCGCAUAGGGCGAAGUCUUGCCGGAGCACCGCCGCGUGAGUGAUGAAGUUCUUCGGAUCGUAAACCUCUGUUAUUAGGGAAGACCAAAUGUGUAAGUAACUACGCACGUCUUGACGGUACCUAAUCAGAAAGCCACGGCUAACUACGUG
rnacentral:rRNA from 1 species